ACCAUUGUUGUCCAACAAAGCUCCAACCUUUAGUGACCAUUUCUGCUCCAAAUCGCGAAAGGAGGACAUUUUCGGAGUCGUGAAGCGCAUCUCUACGUGUGGGACUUCGAAAUUUUAGGUUUGGGUGGACUUCUUUCUCUCUUGAUUUUCGUGGGUAUGGGAUUUUGGGAGAUAUGAUGGGUAGUUUUGCUAAGUUUCUGCUUC
rnacentral:lncRNA from 1 species